AUAGCGCUAUUUAUUUUUGUUACACUUGGCGUGCCAUAGGACCUAGGAGUCAAGAGUCACCUGCAUCUGCAGCUUGAAAGAAAGACAAUUGCAAAUUUUCUUAAAGAGUAGAUAGUACCACCAUCUCAAAGAAAAAAGUUAAGUUCCAUUGCAUGCUGUUGGCGCAUGGCAUGUACAUGAUCCCAAAACUCUCUGAAUUCACAGUUUACAAAUCACUGCUAUACCGUAUCGGCGUAUAACUCCACCAUGUACCAGCUUCAAAGAAAAAGGAUUUAAGUUAUGUUGCUCAUUGCUAAAUAAAUGUGUUUACGUGUUUCUUCCAGCUGCAGAUUUUACCGUACCUCGGCCCCACAUGUACAAUGUGUACCAGCUAGGAGUCUACUUAACCACCUUCAUCGACUUCAAAGAAACGACUUGGGCUUAUUGUGACGAAAAUGAUCUGAGGGAUGUAGCGUUCAUGAAACCAAACGAAACGCCUGCAGUUCACUGUACUGGAAUUUCAAGAAACGCUAAGUGAUGAACACUAAAAACAAUUUACUGACAGAAGAAAUGUAUUGUGCUGCAUGUCAUGUGAUCCAGUGAUCUUAUUCUAUCAUAAACUCA